rnacentral:rRNA from 1 species
CCUACGGGAGGCAGCAGUGGGGAAUAUUGCACAAUGGGGGAAACCCUGAUGCAGCGACGCCGCGUGAGUGAAGAAGUAUUUCGGUAUGUAAAGCUCUAUCAGCAGGGAAGAAAAUGACGGUACCUGACUAAGAAGCCCCGGCUAACUACGUGCCAGCAGCCGCGGUAAUACGUAGGGGGCAAGCGUUAUCCGGAUUUACUGGGUGUAAAGGGAGCGUAGACGGCUGGACAAGUCUGAAGUGAAAUCCCGGGGCUUAACCCCGGAACGGCUUUGGAAACUGAGCAGCUAGAGUGCAGGAGGGGUAAGCGGAAGUCCUAGUGUAGCGGUGAAAUGCGUAGAUAUUAGGAGGAACACCAGUGGCGAAGGCGGCUUACUGGACAGUAACUGACGUUGAGGCUCGAAAGCGUGGGGAGCAAACAGGAUUAGAUACCCUUGUAGUC